UACAUGUCUGCGAGGGUUUUAAGAGUAAA
rnacentral:piRNA from 1 species